AACGAACGCUGGCGGCGUGCUUAACACAUGCCAGUCGAACGGAAAGGCCCUGCUUUUGUGGGGUGCUCGAGUGGCGAACGGGUGAGUAACCCGUGAGUAACCUGCCCUUGACUUUGGGAUAACUUCAGGAAACUGGGGCUAAUACCGGCUAGGAGCUCCUGCUGCAUGGUGGGGGUGGGAAAGUUUCGGCGGUUGGGGAUGGACUCGCGGCGUAUCAGCUUGGUGGUGGGGUAGUGGCUUACCAAGGCCUGGACCGGUAGCCGGCCUGAGAGGGUCACCGGCCACAUUGGGACUGGGAUAAGGCCCAGACUACUACGGGAGGCAGCAGUGGGGAAUAUUGCACAAUGGGCGGAAGCAUGAUGCGGCAACGCCGCGUGGGGGAUGAGGGCCUUCGGGUUGUAAACCGCUUUCGCCUGUGACGAAGCGUGAGUGACGGUAAUGGGUAAAGAAGCACCGGCUAACUACGUG
rnacentral:rRNA from 1 species